UACGUAGGGGGCAAGCGUUGUCCGGAAUCAUUGGGCGUAAAGCGCGUGUAGGCGGCUUCGUAAGUCCGUUGUGAAAGUCCAGGGCUCAACCCUGGAAUGCCGAUGGAUACUGCGGAGCUAGAGUCCGGAAGAGGCGAGUGGAAUUCCUGGUGUAGCGGUGAAAUGCGCAGAUAUCAGGAGGAACACCGGCGGCGAAGGCGGAUCUCUGGGCCAUUACUGACGCUGAGGAGCGAAAGCGUGGGGAGCGAACAGG
rnacentral:rRNA from 1 species